CUGGAGAGCCACUGAGUGAGGAGGCCACAACAGAGCCCUGAUGAACCAUCUAGGAGCACAUUGCUGAAGGCCCUACCAUCCCUUUUACGUAUUUUAUCUUAUGCACACACAGAUUUACUCUUCAAUUACAAUGUCAAUGUUGUGAUUUAUUCAUGCUGCAAUUUCAGGCCCCAGGACAAGCAUUAGGAUCACAGUGAUUACCUUACCUGGAGACCCACUCGGGAGCCCUGGAGCCUCAGGAAUAAGGGGGAGAAGACUGAAGGAGACUAGCCCGGGCAACACCAAAUCCAACUGGAAGCCACGGAGGCAAAGGCUUCGGUCUCGUGGGCACCGGUCCCACCUAGGGAUGAACUCAGCUGUGAGCCAGACCUGGGUCACCAAUGCCAAGACACUGAGGCUCUCUAUAUGGUGACCUUCUUAUGACCUUGGCCGUGUCCUGGGGGAGGAUUGCUGUUUUGCUCUUGUGACUACUCUUGGGGUCCGCUGAACUGGAACCUAAAAGCCAGGAGCUGAGAAAAGCCUGGGGGCGAGGCUUUAAAAUCGCAUUGCCAACUCUGCACUGAUGGAUAAAGGGUCAUACAACCAGGAAACUGUGGGGCAGGUGUUCAAAGCCAGAAGCUCCAGCUCCAAGGUCCCACUUGCAAACACCAGCUCUACUGCUAGAGGGGCUGUUUGUAUCAGAGGCCAACAGAAAGUAACCCAAAAGAGAAGAACAUACGUGAGCGCUGGAGACCCGGGAGGGUGCAUUUCAACAGCACGCCAGGAACUUCAAGGGAGUUUUGCAAAAUGUUUCAGAAGCCACCUUCACCGCCGGUGCUCCCUGGAUACAGAUCAGAACCCCUCUGCAUGCUAAGCAAGCUAAGAAAAGCAACAGGACAUCUGAAAAGCCCCGUGAUGAUGGCUCUGGGAGAAACUGGGCUAGGAACUCAGAGCAAAUACCAUCCGUAUCAUAACUCCCUAAUUCCUGGGCGUGACAUAGGCUUAUUCCGGGAAGCAGGAAGAGAGCUUUGGAGUGCUCUCAAUCUGUUUUCAAUGGAUACUGUAUCUGUGAGUAGAGAAUGACACGAGAGCAGAAAAAAAGGGUCUUCUGUUAAAAAGUACAACUAGUGAAUUAAAAGAAGAAAAGUCAGCGGAGGCAGAGAAGGUUAGAUGAGAUGCCCUGAAAUUCUCAGAGGAAAAGUCUGCCGAGAUUAAUGAAGAAAGCAAAACUGAAGAGAUAAACAAGUGACAGGCAUGUAGAGAUAAUAAGUGACAAGAAGAACAAAUUUAGGAGAUUCAGUAUAUCCAUUAUCAGAAUGUAAACGGCAGCAAAGCUCAGAGCAGGCGUAGAAGGGUUUUCCGGUAAUAGAUGACAUUUUAUUCUCUCAUACUUUAAAAAUCUGUUCCAUAAAUGCAGUUCUGAAUCACCUUGCAUGUGUAAAGCUCCAUAUUUGGACUUUCUCUCCUGUUUUCUUAAUUAGCCUUGCUAAAGAGUGACUACAUUCAGAGUUUCCUAAGGAUAUCCAUUUUUAAGUAUCACCUGGAGUGUUGGCUAAGAAUACGGAUUUCAGGGCCUCUCCCCAAAUGUUCUGGAUUUUAAUUUGGGGUGGUAGGAAGACCUGGAACUUUAAUUUUACCAAGCAUCUGAGGUUGUCUUAUGAUACUCUCAGUUUGGGAAACUUGCAUAUCAUCAUUGCCUUUUUGAAUAAUUAAUUUGGAUGUAUUUAACAAUUUUAUUUAAUUUUUGUAAUUAAUAAUUUCUGAUUUUGUCAUCGUUAUUUUUUCCUUCGGGAUUUUGCUAUUUUUUCUUUUUCCUCCUUUUUUAAAUCUGAAGAGAAAUCCUUGGCUUAUUGAUAUUUUUCUCUCUUUUUUGC
rnacentral:lncRNA from 10 species